rnacentral:rRNA from 1 species
UACGUAGGGGGCUAGCGUUGUCCGGAUUUAUUGGGCGUAAAGAGCGUGUAGGCGGCUUUGCAAGUCCGUUGUGAAAACUCGAGGCUCAACCUCGAGACGCCGGUGGAAACUGCAAAGCUAGAGUCCGGAAGAGGAGAGUGGAAUUCCUGGUGUAGCGGUGGAAUGCGCAGAUAUCAGGAGGAACACCCGUGGCGAAGGCGGCUCUCUGGGACGGUACUGACGCUGAGACGCGAAAGCGUGGGGAGCGAACAGG